rnacentral:lncRNA from 1 species
CACUGCGUAAUAUAUUGUAUAAAUGCAGAAUAAAAGGGCUGAAAGGCCAUAAGGUUCAAAUAUCUGAUGAAACAAAACAUCUGGAAAUACUGUAUAUCAAUACCAAACUAAAAUAAACUGUCUGAACAUAUUAGUAUGAAAGCCUCUAAACUGUCUGAAAACUAUGGAGUUAAUGGGACAUGUCCCCAAAUAACUCCGUCUACUAAAACUAAAAUAAUGAAAUAAUCAUGCAAUCCAAUAAUGAUGGGGACUCACUUCAAAUCUACUGCUGCUGGCCGAAUCUGAAGCUAAGAAUGAUCGGGAAUGUGAGUGUCCGAACUUAUGGUAUAAAAUACCAUAGUGCAGAAGAAAAGUAUGCGUCAGUAUGUUUGAAUAUACUGGUAUGCAAAGUGAGGUAGGCUAAAUUCAUGAGGUUCAUAUGCAUGAACAAUACUAACUGACUGAAUAACAUGAAUGUGAGAAUACAUACAUAAAUACGUAACUGUAAAUGAAAUCAUGAUAAUACUAACUACAGAGUCUGAAUACUCAUAACAUUAGUUUCAUAUAACUAAUAUACUAAUAACUGAGUGACUAUGUCUGACAGUCCUGAUUCUAAUGGAAAUAGCCGAGUUCCCUAUGAACUGAGUGACUAUAUCUGACAAUCCUAAAUCUGAAGAACUAUCUGAGUUCUUUUAUUAAGACUAAGGCUGAGAUUGCAGGAAGUAGUCAUCUAACCAACAUGCCCCUUUUAUGUAUAGAGUUGGGCUCCAAUCUGUAACCCCAAUUGGAAGGGUGUCAAUACCGUGCCACUAGUAAGGACAAGCUGUGAGUGACCCUCAUCUGGUAGUAUCCCCAAAGGAGAACGGUGAGACUCUCAUCUGGAAGUGUUAAUCCACCUCAUCAGUCCUCAACUGUCAGUGUUGAUGUCUCAACCUAUGCUAGCUACAUAGUUCUAGAACGCAAAGAUUUCUUCUAAGGAUCACACCCUCUACUGUCAAUGUGUGCCCUCAUCCUUGGGUUUGCUCGGUGCUGUAUCCUACUCCCAACUGAAUAGAUAAUAAACUGAUUAUACUUAGAUGAACUGGAAUGAGUUCACUAAAUUCCAUAGACUAGCGGAAUAUUACUGAAUUCUAUUAACUAACUGAGUUCAUAAGAUUACUGAGUUUUCCUGAGUCAUGUAACUGGCUAAAUUCUACUGAGUUCUAAAACUGAUUAGGAAUACUAGUGAUCAUGGCGUGACUGAGAUUAUCAUGAAAAUGAAACUGUAUCUAGGCACACAGCUAAAUUAUCAGGUAUUGAAUACCCCCAGGACUCGAUAGCAUGAAAAUAAACAGGACAUGAUACUUCUUGAGCUCAUAACAAUUGCUAACAAUUCAUAAUACAACCAUUGAGGGAUUUCAUGAUGCACUUGAUACUCAUAGUAUUGUACAUGAAUAUGAAUACAUUUCAACAUAUGAUAAGUUUACAAUCUAGUCUCAUGAACACUCCAUCAAUUCAUCACAAGACAUAACAUUAGUAUGGGAGUCAUUUUGUACAUAUAGUUAUAGCCUAAGUUCAUCAUGUAAAUCAGUAAGGGUUCAUAAAACACAAUUCUACUCACUUAGGCAUUUUGUCAUACAUAUGGAAUGCAUAUACUUAGGCUUAGGCAUGAACAUUAAGCAGUUACAUCAUGGCUACAUUAAUCAACCCAAUUUCAUGAAAUUCAUUCCACAUGCUAACAGAAUAUCAUGAAAACACACUAAAGAUUCCAACUUGGGAAUCAUAAAACACAUCAACAUGAUCAUAAUCAAUCCACAACAUGAAUAUCAAAAUUUAUAAUUUAAAAUUUAGAUCCUUGGAAUCCUAGUAUGAAAGGGAUCCUUAGAUGAAUACUUUACAUACCUUAGAUGGAAGUUUCUUUGAGAUUGAGGGAGGAAAGCUUAAAUUCUUAACUUGAAUUUAAUCACCUAGGAUUUCUUGUUCUUGAGAAAUUGUUGAAUAAAGAAUGUAUUUAGCCAAAAGAGGGCUAAAUUUCGUGUUUAUGAGAGCUAAAGGUUGGGGAAAAUGACCUAAUUGCCCUUAAGAAUGCAGUCAUUUAGUGACUAAAACUAGGCACCGACGCGUUGAGCGACGCGUCGAUGGCUUCAACGUGAUACCCAAUACGUCGUGCCAAGCCUUAGUAGUUUUGACUCUGGUAACCUGCAACAAUGUUAACCAACGUGAUAGGCGAUGUGGCGCGCUAAGAUUGUGUUGGUCCACUAUUUUGGGACACCAAACGUGGUCUAAACGAGUUCCAAAAAAUCUAAAACUUGUCUGAGAACGCCUAUCGACCUCUCUGAUCAUGAAUUAACAAAAAUAUAGACCAUUAAGGGACAUUAUGGUCACCAAAUGAGAUUGCCAACUUUCAAAGGCGAAAAAUAAACUAAGUAUAGGAACUUAGCUAGAAUUUUCUAAGUCUGAGACCCCUUGACAAGCCUUAAAGGAUGAAUUAAGCUUAGAAAUUUUUCGGAGUCUUACAGGGGAGGGAGUCAACAUACAUAGGCUCAUAUUUUAAUGCGUUGUAGACCCCAUAAUACCCGUGGGGUUACAAUUCUUUAGUUUAAAUUAUAUAUAUAUAUAUAUAUAUAUAUAUAUGUAUGGAAGCUACAUAAUAAGAGAGACUAUAAUUUAUAACAAUUUUCUAAACAUGUCUCACGAGUGCAGUUCAAAUCUUCUUCUUUGUCAAAUAUAGUAAAUUACAUUGUAUAUUUAAGGGACAUCAUCACGUUUGCCUGAGAUCUUAUCUGUCAUUUUUAUUUUUUUGCAUAUCAUGUGAAGAAUCUUUUAGCGAGAACAUUUAUUUGGUUAUACAGUUUGGUGUAUUCAAUGUACACUGAAAAGUAAACAAAGUUGGAAAUUAAUUCCCUUUUCGAGCAGCAUUUUAAGAGAAUGUGCCAUACCUCUAGUGUGUGGGAUAUGAAAAUCACUCCAUUAGAAUACACCAGUAACACUAGGCAUAGCCCGUGAUGGAUUAUUCUUUGCUGUAGGGUCUUCAUUGCUGGAAUCAUGGAAUAGGUGUCGAUGCUUGGUAUAGUAUUAUAUAAUCAUUUGAGUUGUUUUGCCUAUCAAAGGCCGAGAAUUCUUUCAGUUUAGAAUUAACUCAAAAACGUGGUUUGAAGGAAAAGGAAUAUGAGGAAAUAUUGGUAUGCUAUGAAUUGUGAUCAUGAUACAAGAGUUAGUAACUGCCAGUAAACUUAGGAUUCUUGGAGAUAUAAAUUUGGUAUGACAUAUUUAAUAUGGUCCUGCCUAUUCUAAUGUACACNNNNN